CUUGUUAUAUAUUAGGGUUACUUCUUAUGAUUUAUAUAGGUUUUUUCUUGUGAUAAAUAUGAUUUAGUUGGUAUGUAAAGAGGUUACUUCUGUUAUUUAUUGGGGUUACUUGAUGGUAUAUAGGGGUUACUUGAUGGUAUUUAUUGGGGGUUACUUCUUGUUAUUUAUUGGGGUUACUUGUUGGUAUACACAGGGGUUACUUGUUGGUAUAUACAGGGGUUACUUCCUGUAGUUUAUUGUUUUUAAUUGAUUUUAUAUAUAGGGGUUCAUUUAUAAUUACUUGUUGCAUAUCAUUAGUAAUUAAUUUCAUGUUUCUUUUAUGCAGAUUUUUAUUCCCAUCUACUAUUUCGAUCAUUAUUAUGUUGUUGUGAUAAACUUCAUCAACAACUCUAUUGAUUAUCUCAACAACAGAAGGUAUUUCUUGGGUGUUGGAAGGAAUAUUACUAGGACUUUUGAUGAACAUCAUACGUGCUAUUAUACUCUUGUUUUGUAUUUGACACUACUUUUCAAAGUAUCUGGUUUUACAGAAUUAUGAUCAAGGGGAACUUGUCAACAACUUCCCUAUUGGAAUGAUCCCAAUUGAUUCACAAAAGUGUCCAAAGAAUAAUGAUUGUGGGGUGUUCUGUUUAUAUCAUUGUUCUGUAUACGAAGGCGAAGAAUUUCAGUGUAAAAAUUUGACAAAGGUAUUGCAUGGUUAUUUUGAUAUAAUUAUUACAAUUUUGUGUUUUUCUUAUUUGGGAUAUAUUGUUUAUAUUGUUCUUUUUGUUGGCAUUACAACCUGUUGAUCGUCUUCGUUACCGAGCUCAAAUCUGUGCAUCAUUGGUCAUGUGUAAUUUGAAUCAACUACGGCUAGAUGUUCUGGAGAAGGUUAAAGUUUUUGUAGCCAACCAUGAUGCAAUUUAUGGUGAAGUUAUAAAUAAUGAAGAGAUUGAUACAGAAGAACUUCUUGCCUUGGCUGAAGCUGAAAAGGCAGAAAAAGCCAAAGAGAAAUUGGCCAAAAACGAAGCAAGACGGAAAUCAAAUGAAAAGUAGUGUUACUUGUAUAUUACAAUAGGUGGUACUUUUUACUGGGGUAUUUGUUUUCACAGUAGGGGUUACUUGUGUUACUUUUAUAUGUAAGAAGAUUACCUGCAUGUGUAAUAGAGGUUACUUGAAUAGUAUACUGGGUGAUAGCCAUUUUCUAUUGGGGUUACUUGAAUAGUAUAGUAUGUGUUACUUGUAUUGUUACUAAGUGGUUAUUUUCCAGAAAAAUAGAGUUGACUUUUAUAUAUAAUAAGAAUUACUUGUAUAGUAUACUUGUUAUUACUUGCAUUCAAUAGAUGAUUACUUAUAAAAACAGAUGAUUGUUCCCUGGUGGAAAAAUUUCUGAUGAUUCAGCCAUGGAAGCUUCGAGUUUGAAGAUCUGGAAGAAAAUGUUAGAAUUUUCUGUAAAUUUGUUUUGUAAAUUUUUAGAUGUUAAUGCGGCUGCUGUUUGUUUAGGGAUUUGUGUAAAUGUGGGCUUUUUUAACAAGUCGGCAUUAGUUUUACUUUUGUCAAAUGUAUCCCGUUAUUUCUGGGAAGUGAAUCCCGUUAUUUUUGGUAUGGCAGCUGACCACAUGGUGAGGCCAGCCAUGCCUGUCAAAAAAUAAGAUAAGGUGUGUUUUUACUUUUUA